UCUUAUGAGGUACCUCAGUGCAGAAAACAGAGUAGUUGAGUUGUCAUGAGCUGAAGGACCCCCUGGUGGGAGUCUCUGAGGAACUCUCUGUAGAUCUCCUUAGUGCAGUGGAGAACUACUGUUUGUUGACUGACAGCCUGUCCAUCCUGUCAUUGAAGUUGGCUCCCAAGCCUUUGCCACUCCCAGCCACAGCAGAAUCACUUGUGUGUGUAAGUUGAACACAUUUUACUGUAAAAACAAGAGCCCUGGUUGCUCAGAACAGUUCUAGUUCUCCCCUGGCUGUGCCUGAUGGAGGCAGAGGACAAGAUGGUUCAGCAUGUAACCCUUUCCUACCACAGAGCCAUGCCUUCACUUAAUGCCCCAAAAGGUGCAGCCGGUAUGUGAACCCCAUCUGGCUGACUCCUGGGGGCCCCAGCCAGGGCAGGGUGUGUGUGUGCAGAAUAAGCAGGGCCAGGGCCCCGCCCUGGCAUGGCUCAGCAGAGCCCUCCUCCCUCCCACCUCCCACCCUGCUGCCUUCAUCCCCCAGGCGCUGAAGUACGCCUUCCAGACCCACGACCGCCUGUGCUUUGUGAUGGAGUAUGCCAACGGGGGUGAGCUGUUCUUCCACCUGUCCCGGGAGCGUGUCUUCACAGAGGAGCGGGCCCGGUUUUAUGGUGCAGAGAUUGUCUCGGCUCUUGAGUACUUGCACUCACGGGACGUGGUAUACCGCGACAUCAAGGUUAGUGGCAGGGUGUGCACCAGGCUGACCUGUGGCAUGCACACCACAUGGGACUCACACUGGGGAGGUUGGGCUGAGCUUCUGCCCUCAUUCGCCAGGCUCCCCACCAAGGUCCAGGGUGGUGGUUCUGUAGCAAGCUGCCCCAAGUAGGGACCUUUCCAAGCCUCCCAUGAGCACUCCUAGGCCGCUAGUGGAGUGUGAACUGGCACAAUACCUACUUUAUUUUUAUUUAUUUAUUUAUUUAUUUAUUUAUUUUUGAGGAGUCUUACUCUGUUGAGUGCAGUGGUGUGAUCUCAGCUCGCUGCAACCUCUGCCUCCCGGGUUCAAGCGAUUGUCCUGCCUCAGCCUCCCAAGUAGUUGGGAUUACAGGUGCCCGCCACCAUGCCCAGCUAAUUUUUGUAUUUUUAGUAGAGACGGGGUUUCAUCAUAUUGGCCAGGCUGGUCUCAAACUCCUGACCUCGUGAUCCACCCACCUCAGCCUCCCAAAGUGCUUGGAUUACAGGCAUGAGCCCCCGCGCCCGGCCACGUUUAGAAGAUAGUUUGGCAGUGUCCACCAAAGCUGAGCACCAGCCAUCUGCCCUAGCUGUGUGCACAGGAGAAGUGGGGACACACACUCACCUUAGAAAGUGUCCCCCUCACUCAGCAGCAGGACUCACUCUAGCCCCAACUGGAACAACCCAAGUAUCCACUGUGAGAGGAACAGUCAGAUCCACUGUGGAGUGUUCUCACAGUGGGGCGCCACACAGCAGUUAGGAAUGAGCUACAGCUACACACGACAGUGUGGACGCGUCUCAUAGGCUAAUGUCGAGGGAAAGCUGCACAGAGGAGGUGAGUCCACAGUUCACAGGUGUGUCUGUGUGCAGUGGUACAGAUGGGAAGUAGAGGUUAAUUCUUGUGGGGGAUGGUCAGUAACCGGGAGGGGCACACAGGGCCUUCCAGGGGGAGAUGCCACCUCAGCCUCGCAAGUAGCUGGGACUAUAGGUGUGUGCCACCAUGCCUGGCCAAUUUUUUUUUUCAUAUUAAGAAAUAUGGAGAUGGGGUCUCGCUGUGUUGCCCAGGCUGGUCUCAAACUCGUGGGUUCAAGCAAUCCUGCCACCUAAGUCCCCCAAAUUGCUGGGAUUACAGGUGUGAGCCACUUUGCCUGGCUGCAUAUUUCAUAAUUAAAGGACAAAAAGUCUAGAAAAAAAGAAUAGAAGAAAGCUAGUGCCCCCACGUUCGAACUUAAGAACCGCAGUUCACAAUGGGGACGGUGGGUGGACAGGGCCUGGCUCUCGGCUCUCCCUGCCCAGCUGUUCCCAGGUACCCUGGGGGUGGGCCAGGGGGUGGGGAGGGUUGUAUCUGGCCUCUCUCUGAGCCUCAGAGGGUGAGGCUGUGUGUGCUGGGCCCAGCCUGGCAUGGGAGGGUUGAUGUCCAGGAGCCCCGGGCAUCUUUCCCUGGAAGGAAAGGCUGGGGUGGCAGGAAGCCUUGGGAGCAUGCGCCUGAGAUCCGUUGACUUUUCCAACAGCUGGAAAACCUCAUGCUGGACAAAGAUGGCCACAUCAAGAUCACUGACUUUGGCCUCUGCAAAGAGGGCAUCAGUGACGGGGCCACCAUGAAAACCUUCUGUGGGACCCCGGAGUACCUGGCGCCUGAGGUGCUGGAGGACAAUGACUAUGGCCGGGCCGUGGACUGGUGGGGGCUGGGUGUGGUCAUGUACGAGAUGAUGUGCGGCCGCCUGCCCUUCUACAACCAGGACCACGAGCGCCUCUUCGAGCUCAUCCUCAUGGAAGAGAUCCGCUUCCCGCGCACGCUCAGCCCCGAGGCCAAGUCCCUGCUUGCUGGGCUGCUUAAGAAGGACCCCAAGCAGAGGCUUGGUGGGGGGCCCAGCGAUGCCAAGGAGGUCAUGGAGCACAGGUUCUUCCUCAGCAUCAACUGGCAGGACGUGGUCCAGAAGAAGCUCCUGCCACCCUUCAAACCUCAGGUCACGUCCGAGGUCGACACAAGGUACUUCGAUGAUGAAUUUACCGCCCAGUCCAUCACAAUCACACCCCCUGACCGCUAUGACAGCCUGGGCUUACUGGAGCUGGACCAGCGGACCCACUUCCCCCAGUUCUCCUACUCGGCCAGCAUCCGCGAGUGAGCAGUCUGUCCACGCAGAGGACGCACGCUCGCUGCCAUCACCGCUGGGUGGUUUUUUCCCCCUAACUUUUUACUUUGCCUUUUUGGUUUGUGUCCCCACCCCCACCUCCUCACCCCUUUUCCAGUUCUUCUUCAGGCCCCUCCCAGACGCACCCCAGCGGCCCCUGCAGCCCCUGCCUCCAGCCUCACCUUUGUGCCCAGACUCGCAUUUGGAAGACUCCACCUCCCGCCCAGGCCUGGGCUGUUGGGCGGUUGGAGAUUCAGGUUUUAAUCCACACAAGCCCCAGUGAGGGGUGAAGCAUGGCACCCGGGGCCUACCUGAGUUUCUGGCCUGGGUGUCGUGCUGGUGUCUGCCUCUGCGCUGCUGCAUCUGGACGAAGGCUGCCUUCUGGUGGGACGCGACACCCGGCAGACAGUGGUGCUGCCUUCCAGGCCCCGUGGCCUAGGUUCGGAGUGGCCAGGCACGGGGCGGUCCAAUCCCCCACCCGCUGUCCCCCUAUGGGGGCAGAAAAGCAAUAAUGUCCAGGGGCAGGCAGGGGCCCUUGGGAGCUGCAGGGCUGGGGGUUAGGGCUGCUCCCUGGUGAAUGGAGUCAGAUCCUAGGAUCUGUACCAUGGGGAACCAGGAGUGGCCGGGCUGGGUGCCGCCUCCUGGUCCGGCCUCCUCCCCACCAAACUGUCCUCACCCUAUGGAUGAGGCAGGAGGAACAUUUGGGGGCAAACCUGCCUGCCUCCCAGCCCCGUGCCUUACUAGGGCUUCCUUCCAGCUGGCCUUACCUCCCGCUGGACCCUGGGCCUGGCCUGGCCCCACUGGGGGGCUAUGGGCUGGGCUCACCCUCUCCUCUGCGGGGGUGGAGGGGCACCAGCCUUGGCUGUUACAAUCUUACACCGGACAGUAUUGGGCUCCAUGGACUUGGUCAGGGAGGGGUGGGGGUGGGCAUCUCUGGUACCUAUUGGGGUGGGGGGCCUCUGAGAAGGGAGGCUCCUAGGCCCCCCUCACCCCUCCCUCUUCCCAGGGCCCCACGUUCUGCAGCCUUAAGGUUGAACAUGAGUGCACGUCCAUGUCAGUGCUGUGGGACUCCUGUGCGUGCCUCGGACUGCGUGUGUCGGCGGGACGCAGGCACACGUGGGUGUGUGUGCAUGUGUGUUUGUGUGAGGGCAGCAUGUCCUCCAGUGUGCAUGGUGUGUGGGCUUGGGCCCCAUCCCUGGCCCGAGCAUUUCAUCCUGUGGGGGAGGGGUGCUGACCUAGUGGGAGGAGCCCCACCGUGAUCCAUGAGCUGCCCUGCCCACGCCUCCCCUCCCUGUAGCAACACCUCUGGGUGUUUGGAGUUUAGCUUUUGUGGGUUUGCUCUCCCUACCCCAUCUCCUGUACUACACAGUUCAUGGCAGGGUGGGGAGGGGUGGGGUUGGUUCGGGUGGGUGAGGGUCUUUUUCCUCUGUGUGCGAUGUCGUUAUCUGACAGUUCUCCGUCCCUACUGGCCUUUCUCCUCGUCUUCAUAUUUGUACGGUACAAGCAAUAAAGACACUCAUUUCAG
rnacentral:sRNA from 1 species